AAACAUGGCUCUUUGAAUUAUUUUUAUAAAGAGUCAGGCCUGCCCAGUGAAAUUUGUUUUAACGGCCGCGGUACUCUGACCGUGCAAAGGUAGCAUAAUCAUUUGCCUUAUAAUUGAAGGCUAGUAUGAAUGGUUUAACGAGAGCAACACUGUCUCUUUUUUAUUUUCAAGAACUUAACCUUUAGGUGAAGAGGCCUAAAUUUUAUUGGAGGACAAGAAGACCCUGUCGAGCUUAAAAGACAUCAUAGAAGUUUAUAUAUAUAUUUAAAUAAAUUUUCUAUUAAGCUUUUUAGUUGGGGCGACUAAGGAACAAAAAAAGCUUCUUAAAUAAAACAAACUCUCAAGUUUUGAUCCGACAACAGUCGAUCUAGGAAAUUAGUUACCGCAGGGAUAACAGCAUAAUCUCUCUUGAGAGAUCUAAUCGAAAGAGGGGGUUGUGACCUCGAUGUUGGACUAAAAUAUCCUAAAGAUGUAGAAGUCUUUAAGGGUUGGUCUGUUCGACCAUUAAAAUUUUACGUGAUC
rnacentral:rRNA from 1 species